GCCCACAUAGCUCAGCCGGUAGAGCACGUUCUUGGUAAGAACGGGGUCGCCGGUUCGAAUCCGGCUGUGGGCUCCA
rnacentral:tRNA from 1 species